rnacentral:rRNA from 1 species
UACGGAGGAUCCGAGCGUUAUCCGGAUUUAUUGGGUUUAAAGGGUGCGCAGGCGGGAGAUUAAGUCGGCGGUGAAAUUUUGCAGCUCAACUGUAAAAGUGCCUUCGAUACUGGUUUCCUUGAGUGUGGAUGAAGUAGGCGGAAUUUGUGGUGUAGCGGUGAAAUGCAUAGAUAUCACGAGGAACUCCGAUUGCGCAGGCAGCUUACUAAACUACUACUGACGCUCAGGCACGAAGGCGUGGGGAUCAAACAGGAUUAGAUACCCG